GUCGAUAUGUCCGAGUGG
rnacentral:siRNA from 1 species